UUACGGAAGGCAGCAGCUAAGAAUCUUCCGCAAUGGACGAAAGUCUGACGGAGCGACGCCGCGUGGACGAUGAAGGCCGAAAGGUUGUAAAGUCCUUUUCCUGGAGAAGAAUAACCCCGUGAGGAAAUGCUCGGGGGAUGACGUUACCCAGGGAAUAAGCCCCGGCUAAUUACGUGCCAGCAGCCGCGGUAACACGUAAGGGGCGAGCGUUGUUCGGAAUUAUUGGGCGUAAAGGGCGUGCAGGCGGUCGUGCAAGUCUGGUGUGAAAGGUUGGAGCUUAACUCCAAACGCGCGCUGGAAACUGCAGGACUAUUGAGUGCCGGAGAGGAAGCUAGAAUUCCAGGUGUAGGGGUGAAAUCUGUAGAUAUCUGGAAGAAUACCGGUGGCGAAGGCGAGCUUCUGGCCGAGCACUGACGCUGAGGCGCGAAAGCGUGGGGAGCAAACAGGCUUAGAUACCCUGGUAGA
rnacentral:rRNA from 1 species